CCUUGGCAAUAUCCACCUGACCGUUUGCUCUCUUUUUCGUUUUUGUUUUCGGUUCAGGCAUUUCUUGCAUUACUUUUUCCUUUUUUCUUCUUUUUUUUUUUAGUAGGAUCAACCUCGAUUCCUCUCUUCCGCUCACAAUAAGCCUCAGCAACUUACCUGACCGCACUCUGAAAGUGCACUUAUUUGAAUUCAACCUCAGUUUGAAUUGUCUCAAC
rnacentral:lncRNA from 1 species